rnacentral:rRNA from 1 species
GAUGAACGCUGGCGGCGUGCCUAAUACAUGCAAGUCGAGCGUACAGACGAGGAGCUUGCUCCUCUGACGUUAGCGGCGGACGGGUGGGUAACACGUGGAUAACCUACCUAUAAGACUGGGAUAACUUCGGGAAACCGGAGCUAAUACCGGAUAAUAUAUUGAACCGCAUGGUUCAAUAGUGAAAGACGGUUUUGCUGUCACUUAUAGAUGGAUCCGCGCCGCAUUAGCUAGUUGGUAAGGUAACGGCUUACCAAGGCAACGAUGCGUAGCCGACCUGAGAGGGUGAUCGGCCACACUGGAACUGAGACACGGUCCAGACUCCUACGGGAGGCAGCAGUAGGGAAUCUUCCGCAAUGGGCGAAAGCUUGACGGAGCAACGCCGCGUGAGUGAUGAAGGUCUUCGGAUCGUAAAACUCUGUUAUUAGGGAAGAACAAAUGUGUAAGUAACUAUGCACGUCUUGACGGUACCUAAUCAGAAAGCCACGGCUAACUACGUG